GCAUAGUUAGCAGAUAUCAGGCUGAUCCAAAAGAAGAUCAUUAAAAAGUUAUAAAAAUAUUCUUAAGUAUCUGAGAAGAACUAAAGAUAUUUUUCUAAUAUAUGAGGAUCAAAAUUAAAGCUAGAAGGAUAUACAGAUUCUAGUUUUUAAUCCGAUCUAGAUGAUAGCAAGUUAAUUUCAGGAUAUGUGUUUAUCCUGAAUGGAAGAGCAGUG
rnacentral:lncRNA from 1 species